UUAGUUUAAAUCAUUGUGGAACUACACUUUGGAAAUAUAACUCAUACAAAGUGGUGGAACAUACAUUGAUUUCAUCUAA
rfam:Medicago truncatula strain A17 chromosome 1, whole genome shotgun sequence.